rnacentral:sRNA from 1 species
ACCUGUCAUGUCAGACUUAAGUAAUAGAGAAUUAAAGUUAUACGAUAUGAUUGUCGAGCGUUUUUUAGAAGCUUUAAUGCC